GGUCUUUCUCUUCCUGCCGCGCUCCCUCAGAACUGGCUGAAGAACACUAGCUACUUCUCCAGCUGCGUGCCGCCAUGUUCCCUGUCAUGGGGAUAAAGGGACUAAAUCCCUCUGAAACGGUUCAUCUAUGAAGCAGCUGGCUCCAGAACCUUCUGCCUGCCUAAGGCCGAAUAAUGCUCUGCUUCUGAGUAUGCUGACUUGGGUUGUCUGUUUACCUCACUGCUGGCUGCUGGCUGCUGUCCCCCUGGGAGCUCCCUGCUUGGCUGCUGUGGCUAAUGCUGCCAGGAGAGCAGGAGGAAGAAUGGACCCUUGCAAGGACACAGCUACCGCCCAGGGGUGCCUGGCGAGACAGAUUCUGCAAAUGUUUGUCAGCUCAGAGCCAGGUCUAGAAUGUGGCCUCUCUGGAGCUCGCUUGUUGGCUCCCCCAGAUGCAUCAUGGAAGGAGUUCCGCAUGCUCUGAGACAGUUUCUUCCCAGGAGGGGAUCAGCUUACUGGAGCAGCGCUGUUUUCUGUGGACCCUUGUCUAGUUGUGGCGGUUGCUGGGAAAGAUGAAGUCCCCAGACUGGAGCUCAGGCUGCAAAGAGGCUGGCAUGAAGCGAGAUGCCCCUUCUAGGCCAAGGCAAGAUCUGCUGCCCUCUGACUUCUACCUGUUGCUGAGAUGACUUCUGUCGCCAAGGCACCUGGAUACCGAGCCACUCCUUGACAAAAGCCCUCUCCAGCCUGCGUGGACCUCGCGUGAGAGAAGUCUAGGUGGCUGUGGGCAGCCCACAGGCUUCCGUUGCCGCUGCGUUACAGCUUGUCGUCUUAAUCUUGAAAUGAGACCUGGUUCACUUGAUCUCAUUAAUAAAAGGUCUGUGCUCCCCCUAGUCAUAAAAACA
rnacentral:lncRNA from 1 species